rnacentral:lncRNA from 1 species
AGAAUAAUAAUAUUAUAUUAUUUAUAUAAUGAUUUUACAGUACCAUAAUUACUGGGUAUGUGCGGACAGAUAAUAUUGAGCAAUGACGGUCAAUUAGGUCAUAGCAUAUUACCGUGCUGUGAAACCCUAAUUAUUAAACUCAGUUAUGCGGUAUUUCUGAGUAGUGACUGUGUAUAUGAAGUUACUGUGAAUAAGAAUAUCGGUAAUUAGAAGAAACCCUAACUACUGUUGUACGUCGAUA